GUGCUCACUUUGACAGCACAUAUACGAAAAUUGGAAUGAUACAGAGAUUAGCAUGGUCCCUUUGCAAGGAUGACAUGCAAAUCUGUGAAGCGUUCUAUAUUUUU